AAAAAAGUAUGUGAUAGCGCUUUUUAGGCAUUAUUCCAAGCUGGCAUCCAUCAUGGCUGUUAUACGUCUAAGGUCAACAUGUCUCUCCAUAUCUUUAUUUGCGAGGAGGAGCAUAUCUUUACCAUAAGGCUGCAGAGCCUGAAGCCUGUGUAACGAGAAGCAGGUAGAAGGAAAGGAAAACGUGGAAAAGAAAGAAAAAAUAACUGCUUCAGGACCUUUCACCUUCUCCCCUCGUCCACCUGAUGGUAAGAAGCGGACGAGGCAACACCUGUGUGUUGUAAUUUGCAGAUCAAACUAUACAAGAAAGAUAUUUAUUGUGCAUUAAACCUCCUAUGUCUGAUAUGAAAAUAGCAUCAGAUUAUGUGCAGAAUUCGUGAUGUAUAAAACUGUAGUUGUCAAAAAUUACGAGCUUAAGUUUGAAAAGAGUAUUUA